AUGUCGGUUAAAUCUUCGACAGUGCUAUCAAGUGGGUGGUGGGUGGGACAUAAAAUUCCCCGUUCUCAGCCCCUAGUGUGGGCUGGGCGUCGGAUCUGCCCAUUCCUCGAGAAGAAGAUGAACCGGGCCAACAAGGUCUCCUUCUCCAACCACAAGACCAAGAAGCAGCAGUUUGUCAACAUGCAGUUCAAGAAGCUGUGGUGGGAGGCCGUCAAGCACUACGUCAAGCUCAGGCUCUCCACCAAAGCCCUCAAGACCAUCGAGAAGCACGACCUCGAUGCCAUCGCCAACAAGGCCGUCGCCACAGACCUCAACAAGAAAUGA
rnacentral:rRNA from 1 species